CAGCAGCCGCGGUAACACCGGCGGCUCGAGUGGUGGCCACUUUUAUUGGGUCUAAAGCGUCCGUAGCCGGCUUGGCAAGUCCCCUGGGAAAUCUGGCGGCUUAACCGUCAGGCGUCCAGAGGAUACUGCCAGGCUUGGGACCGGGAGAGGUGAGAGGUACCUCAGGGGUAGGGGUGAAAUCUUGUGAUCCCUGAGGGACCACCAGUGGCGAAGGCGUCUCACUAGAACGGGUCCGACGGUCAGGGACGAAAGCUGGGGGCACGAACCGGAUUAGAUACCCGGGUAGUCCCAGCCGUAAACGAUGCUCGCUAGGUGUCAGGCAUGGCAUGACUGUGCCUGGUGCCGAAGGGAAGCCGUGAAGCGAGCCACCUGGGAAGUACGGCCGCAAGGCUGAAACUUAAAGGAAUUGGCGGG
rnacentral:rRNA from 1 species